rnacentral:rRNA from 1 species
GCAGGCUUAACACAUGCAAGUCGAGUCGGGGAAAGGUAGCUUGCUACUUGACCUAGCGGCGGACGGGUGAGUCAUGCUUAGGAAUCUGCCUAUUAGUGGGGGACAACAUCUCGAAAGGGAUGCUAAUACCGCAUACGUCCUACGGGAGAAAGCAGGGGACCUUCGGGCCUUGCGCUAAUAGAUGAGCCUAAGUCGGAUUAGCUAGUUGGUGGGGUAAAGGCCUACCAAGGCGACGAUCUGUAGCGGGUCUGAGAGGAUGAUCCGCCACACUGGGACUGAGACACGGCCCAGACUCCUACGGGAGGCAGCAGUGGGGAAUAUUGGACAAUGGGGGGAACCCUGAUCCAGCCAUGCCGCGUGUGUGAAGAAGGCCUUUUGGUUGUAAAGCACUUUAAGCGAGGAGGAGGCUACCGAGAUUAAUACUCUUGGAUAGGGGACGUUACUCGCAGAAUAAGCACCGGCUAACUCUGUGCCAGCAGCCGCGGUAAUACAGAGGGUGCAAGCGUUAAUCGGAUUUACUGGGCGUAAAGCGCGCGUAGGUGGCCAAUUAAGUCAAAUGUGAAAUCCCCGAGCUUAACUUGGGAAUUGCAUUCGAUACUGGUUGGCUAGAGUAUGGGAGAGGAUGGUAGAAUUGCAGGUGUAGCGGUGAAAUGCGUAGAGAUCUGGAGGAAUACCGAUGGCGAAG